rnacentral:lncRNA from 1 species
AUCUACUUUGUGCAAAGCACUAUUCUAACCAUUGAAGAGAAAGCAAUGAACAAUGCCAAUCUGGUCCCUAAUCUCAUGGUGCCUAUGGCUUGGUGAAAUCAUCUGAAGAGACAAAGAAGACUGGGCAACUAAUACCUCAGGGCAGCAGAGCUAUGAGGGUUUAAUAGUUUCUCUUUUUUUUUUUUUUUUUUUUUUUUUUUUGAGACAGAGUCUCACUCUGUCACCUAGGCUGGAGUGCACUAUUGUGAUCAGGGCUUACUGCAGCCUUGAACUCCCAGGCUCAAUUGAUCCACCUGCCUCAGCCUCCUAAGUAGCUGGGACCACAGGCCACCAUGCUUGGUUAAUUUUUUUAAUUCAUUUUUUGUAGAAACAGGGUCUCCCUAUGUUGCCCAGGCUGGUCUCUAACUCCCGAGCUCAAUCAAUUCACCUGCCUCAGCCUCCCGAGUAGCUAGGACUACAGGUGUGCGCCACCACACCCAGCUAAUUUUUGUCUUUUUUACAGAGACAAAUCUCGCCAUGUUGCUCAGGCUGGUCUUGAACUCCUAGGCUCAAGCGAUCCUCCCGCCUCAGCCACCCAAAGUGUGGAAUUAUAGGUGUGAGACACUACACCCAGCGUACCUUUUCUCACUUUUUAAAUCAACAUAACCUGUAACAUUUUAACAAUCGUUUUUCUUUUUUUCUUUAACUUGUCUAUAGUCAAAAUAAAAAGUAAAGCCAUUUACCUUUUAGAGAGAAAAUAAGAAUACCAAGUCAUUUAGGCCUGUAAUGUUUUAAUAUUUCUAUUGAAACUCCCUAAGGCAACUUAACUAAUGGGAGCACUUACACAUCAAAUUGGAUUCCCCCUCCUCUUCUCUCUUGAAGUUCUGUGAGAACAGGGUAAAACCUGUCCAGUUCCAAAGUGUGCUCUCAGCAAAGUAGGGGUGACCAUGUUCUCAGGGUUCUGUGGCCUCAGAUCCAAGUUCUUUAGGAGCCAUUGCUUCUGUCUGCUCAACCCAAGUAAACUACUAAACCUAUUUUCUGUGGCUUUUCACAGUACCAAGCUUUCCUAUGUAAUUCCAAGUGAUAUGGAGACACAGUAGGAAGGAGGUUUCUAUCAAUAAAGCACCACUUUUCUCUUGAGGCUCCAAAUGCCAUUGAUGGAAGCGGGUUCAGAUCACGUGAUUGUGAGUUUCUCAAAAUUUGGGAUGUUGAUUUUUGGAGGCACAAAAACAUCAGGACCAGAGGAAGUUAUCUUCAAUAACCCAGUGAGAAUAUUACUCCUCGUUCAAUGUUCCUUACUCUCGAGAAGGAAUAAUCAGCGAGGUGCUAAAGCUCUUACCCUUCUAUUAUCCACUUUUUUUUUUUUUUUUUUUUUUGAUUAUAGGCGUAAGCCACCGCGCCCAGCCACAGCUACACUUUUAAGUAAGAUUAUUCCUAUUUUACAGAGGAAAUUGAGGCUUGCAGAGUAUGGCAGAACUAUGGUACUCACCCUCCUGUUCCUUCACAGUUACCAACUGGUGAUGGCCAAUGGGCUGUGAGUGCAAGAUUUAUCAUUCAUCUUCAGGCCAAGGUAUAGAAAAGCUGGUACCUGAUCCUCCAGCUAUAUCAGGGACAUACGACUGGAGUCUGCUUGUUCUGUAUACCACCAGAGGAGAUAGAGCCUUGAUUAGCCUAAAUUACCAACUGGCCAUGUAGAGAAAUCCCUCAGCUGAACCAUGUAGAUAGACUUGUUUUGUUAAGCAACUGCAAUUUGGGAGUUAUUCGUUACUUCAGCUGUUGCAGAUAUGCUUCCCUAGAAACAAUGUCUGAGACUGUCCUGAUGGGCAUAGAGAACAUUCAUGGAGGAAUGCUCUCAAUAUAAACACAUGUAGGGAAAGGGAAAGAGGUGGAACCGAGCAGUGAGAGUAGAUGGGCUGUAACGUGCCCACCACAAGGACUCAGCUGACUCUGUGGGAAGCUGUGAAGCUGCCAUGGCCCCUUAGAGUUGUUUCAAAUUGGGAACAAGAACUGGGCCUUUAUACCCGCAAAUCAAUGAGUCAUUGGAUGAAGGCUGCUCCCAGGAAGGAGUUGUGAUCUUAAGUGAAGUGGCUGUCUUCAGCCAAGGGGAAUUCCUGGAAAGUACUGACAGCUGAGACACUCCUAGAAGCUGAAAAAAGUAAGUUCUUCAGUCCUGAAAAUGUAUCCGUUUCCACUACUGUAAUGCAACAUAACAUAGUCUAUUCUGACCAUUCAGAGAGGUUAAAAAAGCCCCAUCUCCAAAUGCAAUCACACUGGGGGCUAGGGGUUCAACACAUGAAUUUGGAGGGGAUGUGUAGGACCUCCCACUCUUGACCUCUUCUCCAGACUCUUUACAGACCAAACUCAAUCAGAUACCAGAGCGAAGAAUACUGUUAGUAUAACCCAUACACGGCAGCAUCCUGGGCACACAGCUGGUGAGAAGGGUGAAGAAUGGAUCUGAAGAAGCCAGAAAGUGUCUACCACAGUAGGUUGAAAGAAUAAUAAAGGAAUAAAUGAAUAAAUAUAAUAACCGAAGUUGUGAAAUGUGAUAGAGAGUUGAGAGGAUCAGUGUUUCAGCAAAAGCUAAAGCCAUCAGGGGAUAGAUGUUGAAGGAUUUUGUAUGCCACGGUAAGGGCUUUGGACUUUAUCUGAAAAGCAUCAUAGAAAACACAGGAAAAGAAAACAGAAUUAAGGGGGAAAUGAAGUUUCAUUUUGGACAUAAUUAAAAUUGAGGUACCUGGGCAUAGUCAAGUGGAAAUUUCCAGUCUGGAACUCAAGAGUCCAGACAUAAGAGAUGGAGAUAGGGUAUUUAGAAUUCAUCAGUGUAUAUAGCAGGGGCUCAGAUAAGAUUUCCCAAAGAUAGUACAUGGAAUAAAUUUUGAUCAAAUACCUAAAACUCAAAUUGUAAUUGUUGAAUUUGAAGGUAAACAGAGUUAGGAAAAUAUAUGCAGAUUUAUAGGUAGAAAGCUAUAAAUAUCUGUACUUUGUGUAAUUAAGAAAAAAAGUAAAGAUGAAGGGAGAUGACUCGAGAUAACUUGAAUUACCUUGGUAUCUAUAUCCUCCUAACACAUUACAAAAAAAUGUUCUUAAGGGUAUUUGUGUUUGUUCUACUAAUAGGUAUUGGAAGGCAUACCAUGAGUCAAGUACUAUACUAAAUGCUAUGAAUACAAAUAAUAUUAUAGUUGUAACUUUUUCAAUGAGAUCAUAGUUUAGUGGAGGAAACAGCAAAAUAGGCAGAAAAUUCUAACACUGAGCUAAUUUAACAGGCUGUUUGGAACAGAGACAUCCCUGUACUUAAACUUAGCUCCUGUAGAUGAAGUGUGUUAAGUCUGAAUGCAAAGGACAAAAUAACUUGAAUCUGAACAAUUGUGGAAGAGAACUGAUAGCAAUUAAAUUGGCAACUGCCCAUGGACUUGACCUGAAUACAAUAACUAAAGAAGGGCAUCAUUCUGAAACGGUGAGGUAUGAAACUGCAACUUGUGACAGAGGUAGAAUAGAAAGCUCUUGACCAUUAGCUUGUGCUCUCAUUUCAGCAUCUAAUUGAAUCAUUUGAUUUGAUUAUGUCAUUAACUCUUUUAAAAGGGAGUACAUCAACUUUCCUUUGCAGCCAUGAUGGAUGACUGAAACCAGACCUACCCUCCUGACUCAAGUGAGUAGAAAACAAGGAAAAACAUGAAAAAAAAAUUUUCUGCAUUUUGCAAUAAGAAGCACAGGACUGUGAUCCUUAUGAGGAAGGAAACAAAGAUAUGAGUGCUACAAUUGUCCCAAAUUUCUACCUGGAUGUAUGUUCCAGACCAUAAAGUAAAGGUACCCAAAAAGACAAUGGCAUUCUUACUAAGCUAAAGAGACUAAUAUCAGAGUUCAAAGAGGUUUAGGUGACUGUAACUAGGAAUGUAGACAACUAGAGAGGUAGGAAAAAUUUACAAAGUACCACACAUGUCCAUAAAUGUUCCCUUGAGUCAAUUACUAGAUACAAUGGCAUAUGUAUGUUCAUUAAGACUACAAGAAACCAGGCAAAGAAUGAUAAGGAAACUAUAAGCUGAAUAAUAUUACACAGGGCUAGGAUAUGUCCAACUUCUAAACAGUGGAGAGUCCUCAAGAAAAACCAGGGGCAUUUGGAAAUUAUCGCAGAAGGAUACAACUUAGUAAUAGCACUAAAAUAACCAAAAUAAAUGCUAUCCCAUGAUAGUUUUAAAUUAAAUCACAAAAGGAUAGAGUUGAUCUUUCAGUAACUUAACCAUCAGCAGAACAAAGUCAAACACCCUUUGAAAGAAGAGAGCAAAAAAUUCAGCACUCAAUACCGCAAAGUAUACAAUGUUUAAUAUCCUCUUAAAAAUUGCCAGGCAUACAAAUAAGCAUGAAAGUGGAUCAUAAUCAAGAGAAAAAAUAAUCAGUAGAAGCAGACCCAGAAAAUACAGAGAUGACAGAAACAGGACACAGAGACUAAAGUUGCUUUUAAAAAUACAUUCAAUAUGCUCAAGGAUUUAAAAGAAACUAAGAAUACAAUACAAAAAUAAAUGGAAGAUAUUAAAAAAUAUCAAGUGGAACUUCUUUGAAAAAUGAAAACUACAACCUUUGAAAUGAACAUUUUACUCACUGAGAUUAACAGCAGAUUAGGUGCUGAAGAAGAAAUUGUCAGUUAAUGUGAAGGUAUAGCUACAAAUACUAUUCACAAUGAAGUACAGAUAGAAGAUUGAUUGAAGAAAAUGGACAGGGCUUUAGUAAUCUGUGGGGCAAAAUAAGGCAACAAGACAUAAUAUACAUGUUGUGUAUCCUCAAAAGUGAGAGAAGGGGCAGAUAAAGUCUUUGAGAAAAAUAAUGGCUGAAAAAUAUUCAAAUUUCUAAAAAAGUAUAAAACCACAGAUUAAGAAUUUCAAAAGAUAAAGAAAAUGAAAACCCACACUAUGACAAACUAAAAUCAAAUGGCUAAAUGUUAUGCUAAAAUCUCAAAAAUCUUCUGUAGAAGAAAACACAUGUUAUGUACAGAGAAAGAAAGAUAAAAAUGAGUGAAGACUUCUCGUCCGAAUGUCUGCAAGCUAGAGAAAAUGGCUUAAAGCCUUAUAGUGCCAAAAGGAAAACACAGGAAACCAAUAAUUCUAUAUCAGAAAAAAAGUACUUUUGAAAACUUUGGACAAAAAAAGAUAUUUUCAGACAAACACAGGUUGAGAGAAUUUAUUGCCAGCAGAUGUGGCAUAUAAAAAACACUGAGGAAAUUUCUUUAGAAAAAAUGUGCAUGAAAUGUAGAAAGUUAGACCAGCAGAAAAGAAUGAAGAGUGCUAGAAAUGGCACAUAUAUGGAUAAAUAUAAAUGACAUUUUUAAUUUACUGGAAAUAUAAUUAAUUAGUUAAAGAAAAAUAUUAGGAC